rnacentral:lncRNA from 1 species
CAGGAAGUAACCAGUCUUCCUUCUCACUUCAUUUCCUGUCCUCUGUUUAUUUGGUUGUUUUCUUUCAUUAAUAAACUAACCAUCUCUUAGCUACUUACAUUCAUAAAUGUAAUUUUAAUCUAUUGUUUUAUUGUCAAAGGGAACCUCAUUGAAGGAAGGAAAGGCGAAAUUGAGGAAUAAAGGUAGGAAGGGAGAGAAACAAAGACUAUUCAACCAUUUGACUGAGAUGUGAGCCUUCUUGACUCCUAGGAGACUAAGUAGAUCCAUUCAGCUUGAACACUGAGCUCCAGGGCAGAAUCUGUCCAUUUUCUGUUUUAUUCUUACUUGCUGCUUUUGGAAUGGUGGUAAAGCCACCAAUUGCCAUGACCCUUGAAAGGAUCUUCACUAAUUAGGACUGACUCACCCUCUUUAAAAAGCAAAAGAAACAGAAUUUACUUACAAUCUUCUGGCAAAUUACCUUUCUGCCCCUCUCCUCAUUCCCAAAAGGCAUUUUAUUUUAAUCCAGCAGAGAUGAUUUAGCAUAUAAAUCCCAUGGUCAUUUGAGGAGAUGAUGAUGCUAUUUGGAUUUAUUUAUGAGAGAGUAGUAAUGAGAAAUGAUUCCUAGACAGUUUGUACUAGUUCGGUCAUAUUGGUUGUUUAAGUGCAGUCUCUUCCAAUUGGUUGUUUCCAAUAAAGUAUCAGUUGUUAAUAAUUUCAAGAAUUCCAUAAAAAUAAGGAAACUUGGAAAACAUUUUAAAUUUUAUUUCUUAAGAGACCACAGAGCCUAAUUUUCAAUUUUUAUGGUAAGCUUGCUUAAAACAUGUAUAGAAAGAAGCCUAUGUGCUCAAAGACAAAGGCACCUUUAGCCCUACAAUGGUUGGAAGCUCCAUGAUAUCAUAGCCCCACAUGGAUAGAUUGGAGAAAGAAUUCUGACUUAGACCACCUGUAGCAGACUUUCCUCUUUUGACAUUUUUUUUUUUUAAUCACAGAAAGGACCUGAGACUCCUUAUCUAAAGAUAAGACAAACUUGGGGUAUACAUUAAGAAUCCA